rnacentral:rRNA from 1 species
UCAUAUGCUUGUCUCAAAGAUUAAGCCAUGCAUGUCUAAGUACAUGCCGAACUAAGGUGAAACCGCGAAUGGCUCAUUAAAUCAGUUAUGGUUCCUUAGAUCGUACGUAUCUACUUGGAUAACUGUGGUAAUUCUAGAGCUAAUACAUGCAGCAGAGCUCCGACCUUCGGGGACGAGCGCUUUUAUUAGACCAAAACCAAUCGGACCUCGGUCUGACUGCGGUGGUGACUCUGGAUAACUUUGGGCUGAUCGCACGGUCUCGUACCGGCGACGCAUCUUUCAAGUGUCUGCCUUAUCAACUGUCGAUGGUAGGUUAUGCGCCUACCAUGGUCGUAACGGGUAACGGGGAAUCAGGGUUCGAUUCCGGAGAGGGAGCCUGAGAAACGGCUACCACAUCCAAGGAAGGCAGCAGGCGCGCAAAUUACCCACUCCCGGCACGGGGAGGUAGUGACGAAAAAUAACAAUACGGGACUCUAUUGAGGCCCCGUAAUUGGAAUGAGUACACUCUAAAUCCUUUAACGAGGAUCUAUUGGAGGGCAAGUCUGGUGUUUUCCUUGGUUCUCUUUGCUGAGUGUCUUGGGUGACCGGCACGUUUACUUUGAAAAAAUUAGAGUGCUCAAAGCAGGCGUGUCGCCUGAAUAAUGGUGCAUGGAAUAAUGGAAUAGGACCUCGGUUCUAUUUUGUUGGUUUUCGGAACUCGAGGUAAUGAUUAAGAGGGACAGACGGAGGCAUUCGUAUUGCGACGCUAGAGGUGAAAUUCUUGGACCGUCGCAAGACGAACUACUGCGAAAGCAUUUGCCGAGAAUGUUUUCAUUAAUCAAGAACGAAAGUUAGAGGUUCGAAGGCGAUCAGAUACCGCCCUAGUUCUAACCAUAAACGAUGCCAACCAGCGAUCCGCCUGAGUUCCUCAACUGACUCGGCGGGCAGCUUCCGGGAAACCAAAGUGUUUGGGUUCCGGGGGAAGUAUGGUUGCAAAGCUGAAACUUAAAGGAAUUGACGGAAGGGCACCACCAGGAGUGGAGCCUCCGGCUUAAUUUGACUCAACACGGGAAAACUUACCCGGCCCGGACACCGGAAGGAUUGACAGAUUAAGAGCUCUUUCUUGAUUCGGUGGGUGGUGGUGCAUGGCCGUUCUUAGUUGGUGGAGCGAUUUGUCUGGUUAAUUCCGAUAACGAACGAGACUCUAGCCUACUAAAUAGCCGGCCGAUCCCUCGGAGUCGGCCGGUCUUCUUAGAGGGACAAGCGGCGUUUAGCCGCACGAGACAGAGCAAUAACAGGUCUGUGAUGCCCUUAGAUGUCCGGGGCCGCACGCGCGCUACACUGAAGGAACCAGCGUGUGCUCUCCCUGUCCGGCAGGACUGGGUAACCCGUUCAACCUCCUUCGUGAUAGGGAUAGGGGCUUGUAAUUGUUCCCCUUGAACGAGGAAUUCCCAGUAAGCGCGAGUCAUAAGCUCGUGUUGAUUACGUCCCUGCCCUUUGUACACACCGCCCGUCGCUACUACCGAUUGAAUGAUUUAGUGAGGUCUUCGGACUGGCGCUCGGAGCGGCCUCCGGGUCGCGCCGGCGUGCCGGAAAGAUGACCAAACUUGAU